UCCUAUGGUCAUACCACUCUGAACACUCCCGAUCUUGUCUGAUCUGGGAAGCUUAAGCAGGGUGAGGCCUGGCUAGGACUUAGAUGGGAGAUAGCCAAGAAAGUCUGGGUGCUGUAGUCU
ensembl:rRNA 5S_rRNA 5S ribosomal RNA